UACGUAGGUGGCAAGCGUUAUCCGGAUUUACUGGGUGUAAAGGGCGUGUAGGCGGGACUGCAAGUCAGAUGUGAAACCCAUGGGCUCAACCCAUGGCCUGCAUUUGAAACUGUAGUUCUUGAGUGAUGGAGAGGCAGGCGGAAUUCCGUGUGUAGCGGUGAAAUGCAUAGAUAUAUGGAGGAACACCGGUGGCGAAAGCGGCUCUCUGGCCUGUAACUGACACUGAGGCUCGAAAGCGUGGGGAGCAAACAGG
rnacentral:rRNA from 1 species